UAUUUCAAAGAUUAAGCCAUGCAUGUCUAAGCAUGAGCUAAAUCAAAGUGAAGCCGCGAAUAGCUCAUUACAAUAGCCGUUGUUUCUUGGAUCCUAACUUUACUUGGAUACCUGUGGUAAUUCUAGAGCUAAUACAUGCGACUAAGAGCCGACCUCACGGGACGCUUGCAUUUAUUAAAUCAAGACUAACCGGCUUCGGCCGUUACUUGGUGACUCUGAAUAACUGAGCUGAUCGCACGGUCUAGUGCCGGCGACAUAUCCUUUCAAGUGUCUACCUUAUCAACUUUCGAUGGUAGUUUAUGUGACUACCAUGGUUGUAACGGGUAACGGAGAAUCAGGGUUUGACUCCGGAGAGGGAGCCUGAGAAACGGCUACCACUUCUAAGGAAGGCAGCAGGCGCGCAAAUUACACAAUCUCAGUUCGAGGAUGUAGUGACGAAACAUACCGAGGCGAUGCCCUUUCGGGUGUCGUCAUUGGAAUGGCUGAAUUUAAAACGUUCAGUGAGGAUCUAGUGGAGGGCAAGUCUGGUGCCAGCAGCCGCGGUAAUUCCAGCUCCGCAAGUGUAUAUCUAUGUUGUUGCGGUUAAAAAGCUCGUAGUUUGAUUCGCGUACUUAGCACGCAGUGUGGCCUUUCGGCUACUACUGUGAUGCGGUACAUUAUCGUCAGUUUUCUCUUUAUGCCUUUAACCGGGUGUACUGAGUGACUAACAUGUUUACUUUGAAAAAAUUAGAGUGCUUAAAACAAGCGAUUCGCUUGAAUAUUCGUGCAUGGAAUAAUAGAAUAGGACCUUGGUUCUAUUUUGUUGGUUUUCGGAACACAAGGUAAUGAUUAAGAGGGACAGACGGGGGCAUUCAUAUUUCGACGUUAGAGGUGAAAUUCUUGGAUCGUCGAAAGAUGCACUACUGCGAAAGCAUUUGCCAAGAAUGUUUUCAUUAAUCAAGAACGAAAGUUAGAGGUUCGAAGGCGAUCAGAUACCGCCCUAGUUCUAACCGUAAACGAUGCCAACUAGCGAUCUGCUGGUGUUUAUCUAGACCCAGCAGGGAGCUUUCCGGAAACGAAAGUCUUCAGGUUCCGGGGGAAGUAUGGUUGCAAAGCUGAAACUUAAAGGAAUUGACGGAAGGGCACCACCAGGAGUGGAGCCUGCGGCUUAAUUUGACCCAACACGGGAAAACUCACCCGGCCCGGACACUAGUAGGAUCGACAGGUUGAGAGCUCUUUCUUGAUUUGGUGGGUGGUGGUGCAUGGCCGUUCUUAGUUGGUGGAGUGAUUUGUCUGGUUAAUUCCGAUAACGAACGAGACUCUGGCCUACUAACUAGUGUACGCGCCCCUAGCGCGUUGUUACUUCUUAGAGGGACAAACGGUGUUCAGCCGUAUGAAAAAGAGCAAUAACAGGUCUGUGAUGCCC
rnacentral:rRNA from 1 species